rnacentral:lncRNA from 10 species
CGGGAACACCCACCUUUAGAGAUGAGACACAAGCAGGAGAAGAGGGAUUAAACCUGCUAGUUUUGGAAAAAAAAAAAAAAAGGAAAGAAAAGAAAAGAAAGAAAGAAAAACAAAAAACAACAACAAACAGAAAAAUGCAAAACUGCAGAACACGCAGUGGAGGUUGGAUUCAGAGGACAUGGGGAUCAGUGUGGGCUGUGCUGGUCAAGGAGGGCUUCCAGGGAGAGGCAACUGAGGAUUCACUGCAAUUGUUCCUUGAGAAGAUGAGGAUCAGGUCGGGAAUUGGAAACAUCUGAGGGCUCAAUUCAACCUGGCUUCUAAAACGAACAUGGUGAACAUAGAUCAACUACUGAACUUCUUUUAACCUCUGGCAUCCUAUCUGUGAAUUGUA